UACGGGGGGAGCAAGCGUUGUUCGGAUUUACUGGGCGUAAAGGGCGCGUAGGCGGCCACCGCAAGUCGGUUGUGAAAUCUCCGGGCUUAACCCGGAAAGGUCAAUCGAUACUGCGGGGCUAGAGUGCAGAAGGGGCAACUGGAAUUCUCGGUGUAGCGGUGAAAUGCGUAGAUAUCUGGAGGAACACCGGUGGCGAAGGCGGCAUCCUGGACCGACACUGACGCUGAGGCGCGAAAGCUAGGGUAGCAAACGGG
rnacentral:rRNA from 1 species